AUAAGAUUUAUAUAAUGAUUAUUAUUAACACAUAAUUACUCAUUAAAGCCAUUAAAACAUUAAAAGUAAAUUAUCAUUUCCCCCUCUGCAGAGAAGACCAAGAAGUAAAAGGAUUCUCAUAUAUGGAAAUAAGCUUGUGAUAAAGCACAAAUUUGAAGAAUAUAAACCAGUCUCGUAUCAAGAAAAUGUUUUGUUGGAAUAGGUGGGAUUUAAAAAAAAAAAAAAGCAAAAAAGAAGAAAAAUGAUAUAUAAUAUAUACAUAUAUAUAUAUAUAGAAAUAUAUAACUAUAAAAAGGAAACAUUUGCACAGUAUGACUGUCAUACACAAAUGAAGUCUUGAAUACUCAUUUUUGUUCUGUACUUACAUUGUUUUCUUACCAAGACUUUGCAGAAGUGCCUAAAUUUUGCCAGUACAUCAAACGCAAAAACACCGAGACUGAUGUCAGCUCCCCAGUUUCCACUAUUCAGAGAUUUUUUUCCAACCUGCAAUCACAGGUUAACUACAUAGCAUCAGAGGAGGAGUUUUCUUAGAUAAUCGAAUGUACAAAAGAAUUUAUCAGUCACACAAAACUUGACGGUGACUCUAAUCUAUGUUAUUAAACAUUUUUAAGUAUAGUAAGAGUUUUAUGUUGACCCAGUCUUGUGCGCUAGAGGCCUGCAAUAUUUUGCAGAGCAAUGGUUUGCAGGCCCCUUACCGCCAAACCUCUCUGUUGCUAAUAUAAGAAAGCUAUAUAUAGUUUUGCUUAGAGCGUUUAGCUACCGAGAGGUUUAAAUGGGUUCCUAGUGUUAUACUUUUUUAUUGUUGGAUUUUAGAGGGUUGUAACAGGAUUACAGCACAAGGAAAAGAAAACAUCUUUUAAAACAUAUUUUAUGGCUCAAAAACCGCGAAGAGUUCUUGCUUAUAAUUAAAUACAGAGAAAUACUUUAUGGAUAGAACAGAUAUUGAUGUUUACUUUUACAGUAGGCUGUUGAUUUAAAAUGGUUAUGUCUGUACAUUUAAUAUGUAAUUUAGUUCAAGAUUUUUUUUUUUCAAGCACUAUUGUACCAAAUAUUUCAUGUUUCUAUGUUGCACAUUUGUCACAUGAAGUGAGUUGUUGCUGAAUUAUGGUUAUGAAAAGAGAACAGCUGUUAUACAGGAAUAGUAUACUUAAGUGUUAGAAGUCUGUUUAUUUUUUUUUUCUCUUGUAAAACAAUAUUAGUGAUUGCAGUAUUUUAAGAAAAUUUUGAAAGUUGAAUGUAAACUAUUUUUAACGUGAGCAGCCUGCUCUAAAGGAAGGCGCUGUAAAUCUAUAUAAAUUGGUAAUCAGGAAAAGAUUCUGCCUUUAUUUUUGUUUAUUUUUUAAUAUAAAAUAUGUUUUAUUUGUACUCAUAUAUUGAUACAGCAGAUCUGAUUACUCAACACAAGUUAAUCAAAAUUCACGUGAUAGUGUAUUUUAAGUACAAGAUACAUUUAAAGAAAAUCUAUUGCCUUAUUUUAAAAUCUGUAAUAUCAAAUGUUCUACUUUUUGCGUGUUCAAUUUGUACGUUGGUUAAAUUCUUUUUGAGUGUAUAACCUUAGUACAGCACCUGUCCUCAGCUAGCCAAACAGCUGUAACGUAUGUCACACACAUCACUAAGAACUCGCCUGCUAUAGGUAUUGCUGCAAAUUCACCUUUAGUACGCAGCCUGCCAAGAGAACCUAUGGCAUUUUCAGCUCUUCUAACUUCCCAAACCCACACUCCAGGAUUUCCUCUUAUGACCUCCUGUGUCUAUAGCUAUGAAUAAAUAAACAGAAAAUGGAUUGUUAAAAAAAAAAAAAAAUCUACUCAAUAUUUUAUAUUACAGAUUAUUUAAAAGGUGAUAGUUUAAAGAUUUUUAACCUGCCUAAACAGGUUGUAUCAUCAAACACCUAUGUUACGUCCUCUUAUUCUCUGAUCUAAAGUUCUAAGGUUACAAAUGGAUGGUCAACGUUCCAAUUUUUUUUUUUAUUCAGCAUUUGAAUGACCUUUGAUCUUUGUGUUUUUUUGUAUUUUUCUUUUUAUAACGUCCCUGCAUUAAGUAGUCUAUAAAAUAAGGAAUAAGAAAGUUAAUGCUUCUGUUAUAGUAGAGCAGAGGCAUCAUAGUGAAUUUGUGAAAAUGUUAAAUGGCAGGAGAAAGCCGUCUUUGAGAGCUCGGAAUAUAACAGAGCAUGACUACCAAUACAGUUGACUGAUAACCAGCCAUAGUUUGCAUCCGAAUACUUAAGUCUACAAUGCUGAAGCAAUAUUGUAACUCCCUACAAUCUGAAUUGGUUUGUCACUGUUGUUUAUAGCACUGGUGCUCUACAGGUGGUUGAUGCCAAUGUGUAUCUUCCAUUUAUAGUCAGCCUGCCACAAAUUUAUUAUAUUCAAACACCAUACUUUACAUUUGUACUUAACUUCAGUUACGAAGGGGUUUACAACCCAAAACCUUCAAAGAACCAAAAGGGUUACUAAAUGACUAGGUGUUUGUAAAUUGUAUAACUAAAAAACAAGACCGGCACCAAAAUCACUGAACGAAAUCUGGUAUUGAUACUAAAUUGGUGAAUUUACUACAUUCUCAAGCAAAGAAGAAAAUGGAUACACUUUGGAUCUGCUUCUUCAAGGUCUUCUCUUUGUAUGGGGAUGUAAAAUAUUGCAGAAAGUUUAAUAAAUUAUUUUGGUGCAGGAGU
rnacentral:lncRNA from 1 species